UCCCUGGUAGUAUAUCGGUUAGUACACGCGCCUGUCACAGAAUAAGUCUGCGCGCGAAAGCUGGGUUCGACUCCCAGCCAGGGAG